CUCGACCGACGAGAGACUUCCGGACCUAAGACGAUUUCGGUGUGUGUGUGUGAGCCAGGUUCCGUCUGCCGCUGCCGCUGCCGCUGCCUCGUGCACUGGGCGUGGCUGGCCGCCGCUCGGGGAGGCCGGGGGCUAGCUAGCUAAGCGCGGCGCCAAGCAGGUUGACGGGGCCGGCGCAUCCCGAGCGCAUCCCCUAGCUAGUACCUCGACGGCCGGCGGCCGCCCCCGGCCGCGUGCUCGAUGAGCGACGACAGGGUCAAGGGCCUGCUGCGCCGCCGGCGGCCCCGUAGGGGCCGGCACGACGUCGCGGUCAGGUCGCCGCCCUCGUCGAUGCCGCGGCCCUCGAGGCAGAGCCGGAGGUCGCUGAUGGGCAAGGUGGACGGGGGCCGCCGGCGGCGCCGCCCUCCCCCUCCCCCUCCCCCGUGCGGGAGGGGGACGUUCUCGACCCGCGUCGUCCGCCUCCUCUGCAUGGUCGACGUCGAGCGGGAGCGCGAGGCGGAGACGCGGCUGCGGCGGACGCGCCGGCUGGGGCCCAAGGAGCUGGGGCCGCUGAGGCCCCCCAGGUUCUACCCCCCGCCGCCGCCCCCGCCGUCGCCGUCGCCGUCCCGGAAGGGCGAGCGAGGGGGGAGGGGGUGGCGGCUCCGGGAGAGGGUGGCGAAGACCCAUUUGCCGAGCAAUAGUAUGUCGUUGUGCUAUGGCCUACCCAAGAUGAACUAGGUUCCCUACCUGGGGAAACACACCAGCUACACGUGGCUGCACGUGCUCCUCUUGGCGUAUGGGAGGCACCUCAGCGAGUUCAGACAGGCGGGGCUGCUAAGAAGGUAGGUCCACCAGGAGCAGCUGUCCUCUCGACUAAAGCUAGAACCAUACGACCUCUUGAUGCGCAGGUCGAAAGACAGGUCAAGGAGUCUGUACUUUCUACAGUAUUUAGUCGAUCGGUUUGAACACAGAAGGUCUUACCCCCCAUGUUGGAGGUUGCUUCUCUUGAACGAAGGUGCGACCUUUCUCUCGUCGCUCCGUUAGUUUAGUUCACGUCCGAGAUAACACGAAGUAGACCCCUUCGACGGCUAACCAGAGACGUUCGUGGCGAGAGACGAAAAAUUUUACAAUCGUCUAUUUCAGUUGUAUGGUACGUCUAAUCAGUUCCCGACAUUUAUGACAUUUCGACUUCUGCGAAGGAGGACACAGCACGCAAAACCCGAACUUUCCCUUAUAGACCAACUGAAUAAACCCCGAGGUCCGGUUAAUAGACUAGGACUAAGAAAGCAGUUACCAGGGAUGAGCGACAGCCAAGGUAGUGGAGAGGCAGGUGGUUUUAAAUCCAGCAAUCUCUAGUGAAGUUUAAAGUCGAGUCAACGGUUCGUUAUGAAGAGUCUGACAGUGAGCGAGUUAGAUAACAAGUCACUACGUAGGUGUCCACGAAGAUUACCACGACGUCAACGACAUCUGGUUUACAUAAGCUUCUUUGUACUACGUCCCCUGCCCUAACGGUUGUCGACCCACGGCCACUUUCCCGUUCGUUAACGCUUGAGCCUGUAAUAAGACGGUCUUCGAGGAGCUCUCCAAAACGGUGAAUACUGUGGCAGGUUAAACUGUCGACUAUUUUUCUUUCUCAAAGUCAACUAACUCCCCUUAGUCAUAGAUGCCUCAUGACAGUCACUAGACAGUGAACGACACCUACUAGACUAGUAAGGUACCUCACUCGACCAAAAUUUCCUCUUCUAACCUCGUCCAAGAAAGCCUUGUCAAGUAGCACGACUGACCGUACCUAGCCUACAACGACACUUCUAUGACUACCUCGUCCUAAUAGUAGAUCUAGCGAAGUUCCUUAAAUACUCUCUCCAACGUUAUUACUUUUCAGACUCCGUAGGUUUAUAACAAGAUAAGUACCCACGACAAUGACUUGGGGGUUUGGAUAGUUAUCAAUGCCUCAUGAACAGUUCUCCAUCAAACAUAUUUGAAAACGUAUCCUCACCACGUUCCCUCCAAGACCUACUCUCUGCGGCGAACUUGUACCGUAAGCUACACCGCUUCCCUUACUUAAUAGAUGUAUCUGCAUCAGGAGGAUAACAAGUGGCACUAAACUUUAGAGGUUUAGAAGAUCAGCUGUUCUUCAUAUGACACUUCCAUACGCUGAAACCCGAAAGCGCUGAUUUUCGGUUGUGGAUGAACAGGAGUUUUAGAAACCGUCCUUGUGGACUUACCUACCGUGGACUUCACGAAGCUCUACUCGGUAGGUUACUCUUCAGACUACAGAUGUCAAAGCGACAUUAGGAAACCCUUGAAUACUGUAACGUUGUUGGUACCACAUUGGACUUAGGACGGGUCCAUCAACGACGACAACCGAAAUUUCCUUCUUCUGAACUUUAAGGCUUUCUCAAUUUAGGAGUUCAUCGACGUAAUUAGCUUAGGACGACCCGCUUACUCGGUACCGCCUCCGGGAGUAAACGAUUAUAAUACCUUUGAGACUCCGGAAAUUAAUUGUUCCAGGGCCACGGCGUCAACUAGGCAAGUCUGAGUAUCGUCAAACUUUGACAAUUCCUUUCUUCGUAAAGGAAUCACGAGAAUACUAUCAUAGCCGCCCCGUCCCUCCUCAAAUAAAUAAAAACCAUAAAUCCGACAAAUACUACCUAUUAAGUAGUUGUGAUAAUGAGUUACGAUUCUUAUUCCUCCUGAAGAACUAAAUGUGAAAGUUCAUUUUACAUGGACCGUUUUGAGGGAAGGUACCGAAUUCUGUGUAGCAGCUCUCUUAGUAGGAGGAGGGGGUACUGCUGUGCCGCACUAGUGUGUGACCUUUUGUGCGCAAGCGGCUCAAGGUUUGUAGUCUUUGGACACCGAUAAUUCGACAGACAAUGACUCGUUAGUCACGUAUGACCGGUUGGACCUCCGGGUCAGUUAAUCAUGAUCGUGGUUUACACGACAGGACACAUGAUUUAUAGAUCUAUAAAACAUCACAUGUUAUCCUUGUAAACCACACUGAGACUCUCGUAAGAACGGAACCCCGUACAGACCAUGUACGGUUUCGUUACGGGAUGGUUCUAAGCGGCUGGCAACCAAUCGGUGUUUUCUAGCCAAUCUCUCUAAGGAACUGGGAGACAACCGGU
rnacentral:rRNA from 1 species